UUGAAGGAUUUGUAAGAAAUGUUUGAGGGAAAUGAGUCAUUGUUAAGCACUAACUCAUUUCCCUCAAACAUUUCUUACAAAUCCUUCAA